ACUCCUUUAAAUCGAUUGGAAGUUUCUCUUCAUUUCCUCCUAUGCUAACUUCCUUAUAUGACACAAGUAUAUGAAAAUAACUGCAUGCAGAUUCUUCAGACAUUCGCACUGAAGCAACAGCAUACAGGUUUGGAAUGACAUGAGGAGGGAGAGCUCACCUUUACAGACUCUAAAUGGAUCCAUUGAAGGUAGUUGGAAAGGGGAAAGUCAUUCACAGCAUCAAUGGUGUCUUAAUAGCAUUGGCCCUCCUCUCGCUGCAGUCUUGGUCCACAGCGGGAUGCUGAGAUUUCUGCCAUGGCGACAGCCUCUCGGGGGGUCUGAGGAACAACAGCUCUUUUCUACAACUUCUUAAUGAUCUAGGAUCUGUGAAACAACUCCCAUAUUCUUCUUAUUAGUUCUGUGUUGUUCUCUAACUGCACCGACAUGCUUGCAAACUGCAGUUUCCCAGAUGGCAAACGCUUGCUUUGAUUUUAGCCGAAGCGAGAGGGUGUUAAUGAGACUUUGAUGAAGGUAACAGUGUUUGUUAUAUAAUACACCUAUAGUACACCUACGGCUGCAAAGCAGCAAGUGGAAUGCUUUUCGGUAAUCAUCCGUUCAAGCUGAAAUACGAUAAAGAGCAAAGUUUGCAUUGCAGGCAGGAAGGCGGACUCUAUCAAACUUUCAGUUGCCACAGGAUAUCCAGAUGUAAAUGCUUCCUAAUAAAGUCAGCUCCAAUUUCUUUUCCUUGUGGUUCCCCCCGUAUCCCUGGCACAUACCCUCACCUGAAGAAUUAUUAGGAACACCAUACUAAUACUGUAUU